GGACAGGUGAGAACAAGUGGGACAGGUGGGGACACAUGGGGACAGGUGGGCACAGAUGAGGACAGGUGGGGACAGGUGAGCACAGGUAAUCACAGGUGGGCACAGGUGAGGACAGGUGAGCACAGAUGAACACAGGUGAGCACAGGUGGGCACAGAUGAUUACAAAUGAGCACAGGUGAGCACAGGUGAACACAGGUGGGCACAGGUGGGCACAGGUGGGCCCAGAUGAUUACAAAUGAGCACAGGUGGGCACAGAUGAUUACAAAUGAGCACAGGUGGGCACAGGUGAACACA